rnacentral:lncRNA from 1 species
UACUAAUCAAACUUCUGCUUUCAGCGAUUCUGGUAUGUGUGGUAAGCUUGAACAUUUUAGGAACAUAUUCGGAUAUUCCUCUUUGAGUCUUUUCCUUUUCUAAUUUUGAGGAUUAUAUAAAUAUACUCCCUCCGUUCCUAAAUAUAAGUCUUUUAAGAGAUUUCAUUAAGAGUCUACAUACGAAGCAAAAUGAGUGAAUCUACACUCUAAAAUAUGUCUAUAUACAUCCAUAUGUAGUCUACUAGUAAAAUCUCUAGAAAGACUUAUAUUUAGGAACGGAGGGAGUAGUACAUAGAAUUUUUUAUCCCUGUUUGGUCAUGUCCUAAUUAGAAUAAAUUAAUUUUAAAUUUAAGAGAAAUAAACUACUCCCUAUGUUUAUAU